rnacentral:rRNA from 1 species
UACGUAGGGGGCAAGCGUUGUCCGGAUUUAUUGGGCGUAAAGAGCGUGUAGGCGGCCAUGUAGGUCCGUUGUGAAAACUCGAGGCUCAACCUCGAGACGCCGAUGGAAACCAUGUGGCUAGAGUCCGGAAGGGGAGAGUGGAAUUCCUGGUGUAGCGGUGAAAUGCGCAGAUAUCAGGAAGAACACCCGUGGCUAAGGCGGCUCUCUAGUACGGUACUGACGCUGAGACGCGAAAGCGUGGGGAGCGAACAGG